GCCUGGCUAGCUCAGUCGGUAGAGCAUAGGACUCUUAAUCCCAGGGUCAUGGGUUUGAGCCCCACGUUGGGCG